AGUGGCGAUAGCACGUUGCAGACAACAGUUCCCAAUGGUCCACUGAAGUUAAUCAACGUAGCGCGCUGUUAGUAUCCGGGUGGAUGACCAUCUGGGCAUUUGCGUUCUAGUCAUUU
rnacentral:rRNA from 1 species